rnacentral:lncRNA from 1 species
GGUGCUGAUUUGAAUUUUCUGUUGAACUCUUUGCAGGCAGCUGAAGAUCAUGAACCACCGUCAAAGUUGAGCAGGAAUCCGUAUGAUGACCUACAGGCUGUCCAGUGGUUAGUGAAACACUGCCUUUACUCAUAAUGGAAGUUUUUGUUGAGGUGGAGUGUGAAACUGGUCCAUUAACAGCAGUUCCUCUAGACAAGAUAAAGUUUUCACUAGAAACAGUAGGAGCACCAGUGUGUAUAAAUAGAGAAGUCUGGCCUCCACUUAAGGCGUUUUCAGAUCUGUCCCUGGAUAGCUCCUCAGGCAGAGUCAAUGUAUUGUUUUUCUGAAACAAUGUGUCACUCUCUUGUGAUUCAGGAAUGCCACCUUCCUCCUCAGAUACAAAAUCACAUAGGAUUUCCUCCUCUUCUUCUUUAGCACCAGUAACUUCAGUAUUUAUCUCUAAAUCAUCCAUGUUGCUGGUCUGUCCAUUAAGUACAUUUAUACUAGACUCUUUGAAUUACGGUGUUAUAACUCACAACAAAUGUCCAUGGCUCCUUGCAGUGGUCCUUCAUCAAAGUCAAGGAAGAUCAUGCUUGACAUCCUUUCUUCCUUUGUUUGUUUUUUUUUGCAUUAAGCUCUGAGAUCCACUUCCACAUUAAAACAAACCUGCGUGGUAUUUUUGGAAAUAGUAGGGCACUUCUGUUAUACAGUAACUCAAAUGGUUUCUCCCAAGCAGCUCUUCUAUUUUUG